CAAACCUCUGUCUUCUUGAAGCGCAUACGGACGCCGGGACACCAGCGGAACACCGUGAAAGGACGAGCGCAGAUCUGACGAGAAAUGGAAAGAAUUACGGAAUCAACACAUAUUGUGUAGACCAAGAAUAACAAAGUUAAAUUGGAUUUCAAAUGAGGACACUGGUAAUCACUGAUGCAGCUCCUAAGGACGUCGCCAUCAUCCACAGAUCCCGCGCACUGGCUGCGCACAAUUUGCGCACUACGGGAAAACGAGGUGGCAAAACCUACCGAAUUGCUUCUGUCAGAGACGGAUUCAGGGUGGUACGGUGACAGGACCAUUGGUACAUAACAAGUUCUGGUCUAGCUUGUUGAACAACAUGAAGCCUGAAUGUCAGAUGAGGUCGAAUAUCCUGUGAUUUGUUUUACUGCUCCUGAGCUGAGGGGAAGGAAUGCUACAAAUGUUUUAUUGGAGGUUUGUGUUUCUUAUACCACCAGAGGGCACUAGAGGGCAUGUGUAACUCUUGUGUAUUUUACCAGCUCUGAUGUCCCACUCUAUUACUGUCUCUUAGGUGAUUCUCUUGAGAGCUGUAGACAAUGCCUGUGCACAUACACUUCUCAAUUAAUGGCCUUUAGUAAUAAUGAUCAAAUACUGCCAUAGUUGUGUUAAUAUAGCCACAAUGCUGUGCGACAUGUGUUUGGCAAUGUGUUAAUGUAUGAGGUGUUAAAGAAAGGAAAUACGUAUAUAUGUUUCUGUGAUUACACUCCACUUUCAUUUAUGUCUAAUUGUCCCAACCCUUCAAUCAGUCAUCGGCUAAAACUGCAAAAUGGCUCGGGACAACCAGAGCUGCUGUACUGUCCUCCAUCUUCCAUAAAAUAAGCAUGCAGAUGUAAAAUGUCCUUCUGAGUUUAUGGCCACUGAGUCACGUGCUGUGUAGCAAUGUGGCAGGUGUCCUCGCC